GAUGAACGCUGGCGGCGUGCCUAAUACAUGCAAGUCGAGCGAACAGACGAGGAGCUUGCUCCUCUGACGUUAGCGGCGGACGGGUGAGUAACACGUGGAUAACCUACCUAUAAGACUGGGAUAACUUCGGGAAACCGGAGCUAAUACCGGAUAAUAUAUUGAACCGCAUGGUUCAAUAGUGAAAGACGGUUUUGCUGUCACUUAUAGAUGGAUCCGCGCCGCAUUAGCUAGUUGGUAAGGUAACGGCUUACCAAGGCAACGAUGCGUAGCCGACCUGAGAGGGUGAUCGGCAACACUGGAACUGAGACACGGUCCAGACACCUACGGGAGGCAGCAGUAGGGAAGAUUACGCAAUGGGCGAAAGACUGACGGAGCAAUGCCGAGGGAGUGAUGAAGGUCUUCGGAUCGGAAAACUCUGUUAUGAGGGAAGAACAAAAGUGUAAGUAAAUCUGCAGGUCGUGACGGGACCGAAUCAGAAAGCAAAGGCGAACUACGUG
rnacentral:rRNA from 1 species